ACCAGACUCCUACGGGAGGCAGCAGUGGGGGAUAUUGCACAAUGGGGGGAACCCUGAUGCAGCGACGCCGCGUGGGUGAAGAAGCGCCUCGGCGCGUAAAGCCCUGUCAGCAGGGAAGAAAAUGACGGUACCUGAAGAAGAAGCCCCGGCUAACUACGUGCCAGCAGCCGCGGUAAUACGUAGGGGGCAAGCGUUAUCCGGAUUUACUGGGUGUAAAGGGGGCGCAGACGGCGAUGCAAGCCAGGAGUGAAAGCCCGGGGCCCAACCCCGGGACUGCUCGUGGAACUGCGUGGCUGGAGUGCAGGAGGGGCAGGCGGAAUUCCUGGUGUAGCGGUGAAAUGCGUAGAUAUCAGGAGGAACACCGGUGGCGAAGGCGGUCUGCUGGACAGCAACUGACGCUGAGGCGCGAAAGCGUGGGGAGCAAACAGGAUUAGAUACCCUCGUAU
rnacentral:rRNA from 1 species